rnacentral:rRNA from 1 species
GAUGAACGCUGGCGGCGUGCCUAAUACAUGCAAGUCGAGCGAACGGACGAGAAGCUUGCUUCUCUGAUGUUAGCGGCGGACGGGUGAGUAACACGUGGAUAACCUACCUAUAAGACUGGGAUAACUUCGGGAAACCGGAGCUAAUACCGGAUAAUAUUUUGAACCGCAUGGUUCAAAAGUAAAAGACGGUCUUGCUGUCACUUAUAGAUGGAUCCGCGCUUCAUUAGCUAGUUGGUAAGGUAACGGCUUACCAAGGCAACGAUGCAUAGCCGACCUGAGAGGGUGAUCGGCCACACUGGAACUGAGACACGGUCCAGACUCCUACGGGAGGCAGCAGUAGGGAAUCUUCCGCAAUGGGCGAAAGCCUGACGGAGCAACGCCGCGUGAGUGAUGAAGGUCUUCGGAUCGUAAAACUCUGUUAUUAGGGAAGAACAUAUGUGUAAGUAACUGUGCACAUCUUGACGGUACCUAAUCAGAAAGCCACGGCUAACUACGUG